rnacentral:rRNA from 1 species
UACGUAGGUGGCAAGCGUUGUCCGGAAUUAUUGGGCGUAAAGCGCGCGCAGGCGGUCCUUUAAGUCUGAUGUGAAAGCCCACGGCUCAACCGUGGAGGGUCAUUGGAAACUGGGGGACUUGAGUGCAGGAGAGAAAAGUGGAAUUCCACGUGUAGCGGUGAAAUGCGUAGAGAUGUGGAGGAACACCAGUGGCGAAGGCGACUUUUUGGCCUGUAACUGACGCUGAGGCGCGAAAGCGUGGGAGCAAACAGG